rnacentral:misc_RNA from 1 species
GAACGCACCUUGCGCCCUUUGGCUAUUCCGAAGGGCAUGCCUGUUCGAGCGUCAUUACACCACUCAAGCUAUGCUUGGUAUUGGGCGUCGUCCUUAGUUGGGCGCGCCUUAAAGACCUCGGCGAGGCCUCACCGGCUUUAGGCGUAGUAGAAUUUAUUCGAACGUCUGUCAAUGGAGAGGACUUCUGCCGACUGAAACCUUUAUUUUUUUACAGGUUGACCUCGGAUCAGGUAGGGAUACCCGCUGAACUUAAG